rnacentral:rRNA from 1 species
UAUGUAGGGUGCAAGCGUUAAUUGGAAUUACUGGGCGUAAAGCGUGCGCAGGCGGCUAUGCAAGACAGAUGUGAAAUCCCCGGGCUUAACCUGGGAACUGCAUUUGUGACUGCAUGGCUAGAGUACGGCAGAGGGGGAUGGAAUUCUGCGUGUAGCAGUGAAAUGUGUAGAUAUGCGGAGGAACACCGAUGGCGAAGGCAAUCCCCUGGGCCUGUACUGAUGUUUAUGCACGAAAGUGUGGGGAGCAAACAGG